UGGGGAAUAUUGCACAAUGGGCGCAAGCCUGAUGCAGCCAUGCCGCGUGUGUGAAGAAGGCCUUCGGGUUGUAAAGCACUUUCAGCGGGGAGGAAGGCGAUAAGGUUAAUAACCUUGUCGAUUGACGUUACCCGCAGAAGAAGCACCGGCUAACUCCGUGCCAGCAGCCGCGGUAAUACGGAGGGUGCAAGCGUUAAUCGGAAUUACUGGGCGUAAAGCGCACGCAGGCGGUCUGUCAAGUCGGAUGUGAAAUCCCCGGGCUCGACCUGGGAACUGCAUUCGAAACUGGCAGGCUAGAGUCUUGUAGAGGGGGGUAGAAUUCCAGGUGUAGCGGUGAAAUGCGUAGAGAUCUGGAGGAAUACCGGUGGCGAAGGCGGCCCCCUGGACAAAGACUGACGCUCAGGUGCGAAAGCGUGGGGAGCAAACAGG
rnacentral:rRNA from 1 species